rnacentral:rRNA from 1 species
UACAGAGGUCUCGAGCGUUGUUCGGAUUCAUUGGGCGUAAAGGGUACGUAGGUGGCGCUGUAAGUCGGGUGUGAAAUCCUGAGGCUUAACCUCGGAACUGCAUUCGAUACUGCGGCGCUUGAGGACUGGAGAGGAGACUGGAAUUCAUGGUGUAGCAGUGAAAUGCGUAGAGAUCAUGAGGAAGACCAGUGGCGAAGGCGGGUCUCUGGGCCGAUACUGACGCUGAGGCGCGAAAGCGUGGGGAGCAAACAGG